AUGGCGAGGUUGCAACGGCGAGGCUACAGCGAGAAGGUUGCAAGCUGCAACAGCGAGGCUGCUACCGGCGACGACGAGGCUACGAUGGUAAGGUUGCAAGCUCCAACGACGAGGCUGCUACCCGACGACGGCGAGGCUACGACGGCAAGGUUGCAACCUGCAAUGGUGAGGCUGCUACCCGACGACGACGGGUGGGUCUGCGUCCACGGAAGCAUUCCAUGGUGCAACCACAGAAUGUGGAUGCUGCAACCGCGUGCAGUGGUGCGUCGAUCGGCGACGACGUGGCUGCAACGGCGCAGGGUAGCUCGGCAAGUUUUUUGA
rnacentral:rRNA from 1 species